rnacentral:lncRNA from 1 species
CUCAGAAGAAGGUAGAUCUAGAAUAUAUAUAUAUAUAUACAGAUCUAAAGUGCCAGGCACCUCACACUGACCUGUUCUCCCUAACACAGGGAUCUCUCACGGCUCAGGGGGACCUGUGCUCUGGGGACUGCAACGGAUACACAACCCAAGGGCAGCAGAGGCCCAAACCUGCUCUCCCCUGUGCCCACCCCUGACUACACAAGUAAAACAGGCGGCCAGAAGCUAGGAAGGGGCUCAGAUGGGGGCUGUCCCUGCUGUCCUUAGCAACUCCCCCACAAAGCAGCCAGAGCCAGCCCUACGGAAAGGCCCAGCUGCCUUCCCAACACCAACACGCGGCUGGGACCCCGCUGGACACAGCUAUCUGUGCAUCCCCCCAACAACUAGCUGGGCUCCAGGGGUCCCCCAGCCCACUCUGCCCAACCUCCUCCCUCUCCUCCUCUACCUCGUUCUCCGCCCGUGAAACCUGCUCCUUCCUGGCCACCACCACCAAGGUACCCUGGAUGAUGGACCCCAGAACAAGGCAACCAUGUCCUUUAGAAGGGACCCACGCUCCUAUUCCCCAUGAGGACUCCGUGCUCCUCCCUUCUUGGGCCGGAGAAGGCCUUUUGCCAUGAUGCCAAGACCAGAAUCCAUGUACAUUGAAGUUAAAAUUUCUGCAUUAAAACAGCAACAUAAAGCAAAGCUAAUUUUCUGGAGAAAAUUUUUACACAUAUUACCAAAAAAGGCUUCUCUAUCUGUGCUUCAUACAUUAAUACCCUUAGAUUCAAUUAUCAAUCAAUACGAAAAAUGAACAAAAAUGGCCAUUGAAUUUGGUUUGGGACCAUAUUAAAGAUUUGCAUGUUCUGAAAUAAAGUGGGUAUUGGUUUAAAAAAUUCCAGAGGAAACCACAUGGUGUCUCAUCGUGGGACUUGAAUCGCCCAGUGCAGGACGGCUGCAUGCCCAGGAGGAGGUAAGGGGAAAGGUGUCAAAAUGUGAGCAGGUUGCCUCUGGCAGGGCUCUUUGUGUGUGUGUGUGUGUGUGUGUACACAUUUAGUUUAAUUGUAACAAAGCAACUUGUACACUUUUAACUUUUAAAACUGAGCAUCAUCUUUCCUUUCCAGGGAAAACAAAAAAGAAAAUUUAAAAAUAAACAAACAAAAUUACAAUAGAGAAUGUCAAUUCCAAAUAAAAUCCUACAGGUUCUGCUGAUUCUCCCAUUGAGUGGCAGGGCUCAGUCAUCAUUAGGAGAGAAUUUUAUUUUAAAAGCG